CUGCCAGUAGUCAUAUGCUUGUCUUAAGGAUUAAGCCAUGCAUGUCUCAGUACAAGCGAUCUUGUACCGUGAAACUGCGAAUGGCUCAUUACAACAGUUAUAGUUUAUUUGAUCGUGCGGAGCUACGUGGAUAACCGUAGGAAUUCUAGAGCUAAUACAUGCACCGUCGCCGAGGCUCUUUGGUUAGACUUUGGCGGGAUUUAUUAGAUCAAAAACCAAUCGCCAUUCAUCACCUGAUGGAAGGCGUGGCGGGAUGAAUCACAAUAACUAAACCGAAUCGCAUGGCCGUGACUUGGCCGGCGAUAAAUCAUUCAAAUUUCUGCCCUAUCA
rnacentral:rRNA from 1 species